UGUUGCAAUUGGAGUCGAGUGGGAGCGACGUUAUCGAUAGUUUAGGUCGAUAGGGCGAUAGCUGCAGCAGCGGGAUGAGUCUGGCGGGCGAUCUGGCCAUUUGAAGAUUAAUCCCGGUUCGCUCUGGGAUUACUUCAAAUGGCCCAUGUAUCCAAUGACCCAAUGUCGAGAGAGGCCAUGUAAUAUGGCGGGGGGCGAUGAUCAGCAGAUAUCGUGAUAGUCGCGGCCAUACUGUCCAGCAAUCAAGGCAGAUGCAGCUAGGAGUUCUAGUAUAAAUUUUCUUUGUGCCUUAAAUUAAAUAGCAGCCGGGGUCCCAAUACAAAGGGCCCCGGAAGAAUUUAUUUGGAGUUUUACCGACAUCGCCAUACCUACCAGCCCGACUUGGCUGCCCUGCAACCGGUGUCCGUUCGACCGGUGCCAGCGACCAGCCAGGAAAGCCUUCCACAAUCGACGCCGACGACGUCAACAUUUCCCGGUGAGUCCGUUCCGGCGUACCGCGUCCUCAUCCUCUCGCGAACUUCCAGCGGUCGCAUUGCGGCGCUGAGAAGUAUCGCCAUUUUGUCUGGCAGCCGAAUCUCGGACUGCCCGUGCACCACUCACCGGAGAGCGCCGUUUUCCCGUGCGGAGAUCCGUAUCGCCGCUGGCCUCCGGCGGAAAGUCAUCAGCCCGGGCAAUCAUCGCCUCCAGGCCCGGCCCAACAGUGGCUGAAAAUUAGCAGAAAUUAAAUACACGUGUACAUCGAUUAUA